rnacentral:rRNA from 1 species
UCCAGACUCCUACGGGAGGCAGCAGUGGGGGAUAUUGCACAAUGGGGGGAACCCUGAUGCAGCGACGCCGCGUGGGUGAAGAAGCGCCUCGGCGCGUAAAGCCCUGUCAGCAGGGAAGAAAAUGACGGUACCUGAAGAAGAAGCCCCGGCUAACUACGUGCCAGCAGCCGCGGUAAUACGUAGGGGGCAAGCGUUAUCCGGAUUUACUGGGUGUAAAGGGAGCGCAGGCGGCACGGCAAGUCCGGUGUGAAAGCCCGGGGCCCAACCCCGGGACUGCACUGGAAACUGCCGGGCUGGAGUGUCGGAGGGGCAGGCGGAAUUCCUAGUGUAGCGGUGAAAUGCGUAGAUAUUAGGAGGAACACCGGUGGCGAAGGCGGCCUGCUGGACGACGACUGACGCUGAGGCUCGAAAGCGUGGGGAGCAAACAGGAUUAGAUACCCGUGUACA